rnacentral:lncRNA from 1 species
UGUUCAGUUGGCUUGAGAGCUGUCUCCUACUCGGUUCCCCCGAUCUUCCUUUUAUAGUGCAAGGAAGAGACGGGAGUUACAGUUGAGCCAGGAGUCCGGAGAAGUAAAAGAGAUAAGCAAGCAAAGUAAAGCAAAGCACGGGGGCAAGGACCGAGUCCUCGCGGUCGCCGCCUUCUCUUCCUGUCUCUGUCUCCCGUCAGCGUGACCGUCGGAGGGGGGCGGCUGUCGUUGGACCCUGUCGACGACCCUCCGAUCGAUCGUCGUUGCCGAGCGUGCGAGAUGUGUGUGUGGCGUCCAACCGCUGUAGCCAUGCAUGAUGAUGAUGAUGUCUGGGUGCCGCAGC